rnacentral:rRNA from 1 species
UACGUAGGGUGCAAGCGUUGUCCGGAAUUAUUGGGCGUAAAGAGCUCGUAGGCGGCUUGUCGCGUCGGCUGUGAAAACCUGGGGCUCAACCCCGGGCCUGCAGCCGAUACGGGCAAGCUAGAGUUCGGUAGGGGAGACUGGAAUUCCUGGUGUAGCGGUGAAAUGCGCAGAUAUCAGGAGGAACACCGGUGGCGAAGGCGGGUCUCUGGACAGUUCCUGACGCUGAGGCACGAAGGUCAGGGGAGCAAACGGG